AUAUUUGUAUAAAAUAAAACACUACAUAAAACAUCACAGUGUAUUG
rnacentral:sRNA from 1 species